GAUACCCGAAUGGGGAAACCCAGUGUGAUUCGUCACACUAUCAUUAACUGAAUCCAUAGGUUAAUGAGGCGAACCGGGGGAACUGAAACAUCUAAGUACCCCGAGGAAAAGAAAUCAACCGAGAUUCCCCCAGUAGCGGCGAGCGAACGGGGAGGAGCCCAGAGCCUGAAUCAGCAUGUGUGUUAGUGGAAGCGUCUGGAAAGUCGCGCGAUACAGGGUGACAGCCCCGUACACAAAAGCGCAUGUGUUGUGAGCUCGAUGAGUAGGGCGGGACACGUGGUAUCCUGUCUGAAUAUGGGGGGACCAUCCUCCAAGGCUAAAUACUCCUGACUGACCGAUAGUGAACCAGUACCGUGAGGGAAAGGCGAAAAGAACCCCGGCGAGGGGAGUGAAAAAGAACCUGAAACCGUGUACGUACAAGCAGUGGGAGCACCCUUCGGGGUGUGACUGCGUACCUUUUGUAUAAUGGGUCAGCGACUUAUAUUCUGUAGCAAGGUUAACCGAAUAGGGGAGCCGGAGGGAAACCGAGUCUUAAUUGGGCGUUAAGUUGCAGGGUAUAGACCCGAAACCCGGUGAUCUAGCCAUGGGCAGGUUGAAGGUUGGGUAACACUAACUGGAGGACCGAACCGACUAAUGUUGAAAAAUUAGCGGAUGACCUGUGGCUGGGGGUGAAAGGCCAAUCAAACCGGGAGAUAGCUGGUUCUCCCCGAAAGCUAUUUAGGUAGCGCCUCGUGAAUUCAUCUCCGGGGGUAGAGCACUGUUUCGGCUAGGGGGCCAUCCCGGCUUACCAACCCGAUGCA
rnacentral:rRNA from 1 species